GGAGAGAUGGCCGAGUGGAUGAAGGCGCACGCCUGGAGAGCGUGUGGACGGUUGUACCGUCUCGUGGGUUCGAAUCCCACUCUCUCCGCCA
rnacentral:tRNA from 1 species